CGAGCCGGCCGGGCGGCCGCGGCGGGGCCCGGGCCGAAGGGCCCAGACCCGUCGAGGAACGUCCGGGCUCCACAGGGCAGGAUGGUGGGUAACGCCCACCCGGGGUGACCCGCGGGAAAGUGCCACAGAAAACAGACCGCCGGGACCGCACGCAAGUGACGGCCCCGGUAAGGGUGAAACGGCGGUGUAAGAGACCACCAGCGCCCAGGGUGACCUGGGCGGCUCGGCAAACCCCAUCCGGAGCAAGGUCAAGAGGGGCCGUCGGAUGACGGCUCUGCGCGGACGACCGAGGGCUGCCCGCCCGAGUCCGCGGGUGGACCGCACGAGGCCGGCGGUGACGCCGGUCCCAGAUGGAUGGCCGCCUCCCCCGGCGCCGCAAGGCUCCGGGGAGACAGAACCCGGCGUACAGGCCGGCUCGUCCG
rnacentral:RNase_P_RNA from 1 species